rnacentral:lncRNA from 1 species
CCCAAUUAUCAGAUGAAUUCUGAACAUAUAGAAAGAUAGUGCAUAGUAAAACUAAUGAUAAUUCAUGAUAUGUCUAUACAAACCACCAGUAAUCUGACAACCAUCCAUCACCAAACAAUUAACCAAACCACCCAAGUCCACAGUAAUCAUACAAAGCCUUUACAAAACCAAAGGUAAAUAAAAUAUCGAGCACUGCCCCUAACAAUAGCUGAAAACAAUAUCCAAAAGAUAGUCAAAGCAUAAAAAAAACUACAAUAUGAACUGGGG